rnacentral:lncRNA from 1 species
UUUUUUUUUUGUUUCUUUUUUUUUUUAUACCAAAAGCACUGUAGAUGUAGAGUUGUUGUUAGUGGUCAAAAGGUAUGACAUCUUAGUUAAGAGGACAACAGUUGUCCAAGGUCAUCUGUGACCAGAACCCUCUCUUCUGGUCUCAGAGAGUCUCAAGGAAAAAGAUAGUCUCAGUCUUUUUGCCAGCAAGUAACAAACAAGUGGUUGGCCAUGGGCAAGAAUUAUUGGCUUUUUUCCUCUCUCUCUUGUCUAGGGUAUCUCUCUCAAAUCUGUUGGGGAUGAUAUUCUCUGACAGCUUGCAAAAUAGAACUUCCAAGUCCUCCUGAACAGCAUGCACACACACCACUGUCACAUAGUAACUCUGGCAGUAGAAAGAUCAUAUACAUACACACUGUGCUCUUAUGCAUCUCUUUUGGGCUUUCCCAGCAGAUAAUGGGAACUUUGACAUUUGCUUUCUGCUUUCUUUCAUUUCAUUAGAACUACAGAUGCUCUACCUGGAAGCACAAGAACUCUCAUUUUCCUUUAACACAUAUCCACAACUAACUUGUGUUCUGAAAUGCAGCUUCUCUGAACAUGAGUCAACAGAGUAGGCACUAUUUAAAGACAUGAGUCUUAGUGAGAUGAUGGUUGGGUGAAGGAAAGGAUCAAGGCCCAAGUUAAUGUGUUGAGUAUAGAGGCGAUUAGGGAAGAGAAAUGUUAAGAACCCUGAGGAAUCAGAAUCUAAGACUAUCCUAUUUGCACAUUUUCAUCCAAUGUUCCUACUUGGAUGACUCUUACUUUCCAUUUUCCCUCACGUGACUUAGACAGAUUCACCAUCUUCUUUCCUAGAUUAUUUUCUCCCAUUAUUAUUCUAGUUGAUCUCUGUUUUAUCCUCCUCUACUGUAUCAUCCACAUCACAUCUAGAAAAAAGUCUUCUAAAAUCAUCAGUCAUCAUUGUCCUGCUAAUUCCCACCUCAUUUAGAACAUAACCAAAAAUCCUUAGCAAAUCUUACAAUCCCUGCCACUGCUUUGCCUGCCGUGGUGUACCUCACAAUCUGAGGGACAGCCACAGAUCUGUUGUUAUUUCCUUACUAGGCUCUGAGACUUCCUUUGUGGCCAAUCAUCUCUUCAAGAUGGUAUGCAUCCUCUGUAGGGACAUGACUGGUGCAUGCUGAAGCCAAGACAAUCAAGGGAUUUAACUAGGAAGUGGUUAUACAUGUGGCAUGCUUCUAAAAAGCCAAACAAGGAAAUAACUGGGAAAAGCUCAUUAUUCCUGGAAACAAAAAAGUAACUAGUGGUGUUGGCACUUUCUGCAGAAUGAGAAAGGACAGCAUAGUGACUUAAAGAUCUCUCCUGUAAAAUUAUGUGACCAGGCCUGGUGCAGUUGCUCACACCUGUAAUCCCAGCACUUUGGGAGGCCGAGACGAGCAGAUUAUGAUGUCAGGAGAUCGAGACCAUCCUGGCUAACACGGUGAAACCCCGUCCCUACUAAAAACACAAAAAUUAGCUGGGCUGGUGGCGAGCGCCUGUAGUCCCAGCUACUCAGGAGGUUGAGGCAGGAGAAGCGUGUGAAUCUGGGAGGCGGAGCUUGCGGUGAACCAAGAUGGCACCACUGCACUCCAGCCUGGGCAAUAGAGUGA